GGUCAAGUUAUUAAGGGUGCAGGGCGGAUGCCUUGGCACUAGGAGCCGAUGAAGGACGUGAUAAGCUGCGAUAAGCUUCGGGGAGUUGCACGUAAACUUUGAUCCGAAGAUUUCCGAAUGAGGAAACUCACUUAGAGUAAUGUCUAAGUAUCAUUAAGUGAAUACAUAGCUUAAUGAGGGGAACUCAGGGAACUGAAACAUCUAAGUACCUGAAGGAAGAGAAAGAAAUUCGAUUCCGUAAGUAGCGGCGAGCGAACGCGGAUUAGCCCAAACCAAUAAAGUUUUCUUUAUUGGGGUUGCGGACAUAUCAUAACGAAGAGGUAUCGUAAUUGAAGAGGUUUGGAAAGACCCACCACAGAAGGUAAUAGUCCUGUAUGUUAAACGAGAAGACUUUAGAUAUGAUCCAGAGUACCACGGGACACGUGAAACCCUGUGGGAAGCAGGAGGGACCACCCUCCAAGGCUAAAUACUACCUAGUGACCGAUAGCGUAUAGUACCGUGAGGGAAAGGUGAAAAGAACCCCGGGAGGGGAGUGAAAUAGAACCUGAAACCCUGCACUUACAAGCUGUGGAAGCACAUUUCUUGUGUGACCGCGUACUUUUUGUAGAACGGGCCAACGAGUUACGUUAAGUAGCAAGGUUAAGCACUUAAGGUGCGGAGCCGUAGCGAAAGCGAGUUUUAACUGAGCGUUCAGUUACUUGACGUAGACCCGAAACCGGGCGACCUACCCAUGAGCAGGAUGAAGCGAAAGUAAAAUUUCGUGGAGGUCCGAACCCACGAGCGUUGAAAAGCUCGGGGAUGACUUGUGGGUAGCGGUGAAAUUCCAAUCGAGCCCGGAGAUAGCUGGUUCUCCCCGAAAUAGCUUUAGGGCUAGCCUCAAGGUGAGAGAUACGGAGGUAGAGCACUGAAUGUCCUAGGGGGUAUUGCACCUACCGAAGACUAUCAAACUCCGAAUGCCGUCAUCUUAUACUUGGGAGUCAGACUGUGGGUGAUAAGAUUCAUAGUCGAAAGGGCAACAGCCCAGAUCGUCAGCUAAGGUCCCUAAAUGUAAGUUAAGUGGUAAAGGAUGUGGGAUUGCACAGACAACCAGGAUGUUGGCUUAGAAGCAGCCACUCAUUCAAAGAGUGCGUAAUAGCUCACUGGUCGAGUGAUCCUGCGCCGAAGAUUUCCGGGGCUAAAACUUACUACCGAAGCUACGGCAUCAGUAAUGAUGGGUAGGGGAGCUUCCCAUACGGGUUGAAGCAUGACCGUAAGGACAUGUGGACAGUAUGGGAGUGAGAAUGUUGGCAUGAGUAGCGAGAUGUGGGUGAGAAU
rnacentral:rRNA from 1 species